rnacentral:rRNA from 1 species
UACGAAGGGUGCAAGCGUUGUUCGGAAUUACUGGGCGUAAAGCGCGCGCAGGCGGCUAUCCAAGUCAGUGGUGAAAGCCCGGAGCUCAACUCCGGAACUGCCAUUGAAACUGUUUAGCUUGAGGAUGAGAGAGGUGAGUGGAAUUCCCAGUGUAGAGGUGAAAUUCGUAGAUAUUGGGAAGAACACCGGUGGCGAAGGCGGCUCACUGGCUCAUUACUGACGCUCAGGCGCGAUAGCGUGGGGAUCAAACAGG